ensembl:lncRNA
CAUGAAUAUGACAUUAGGUGAUGAACGUUUUUGUUUUUUUCUUCUUCCUCUUGUUUUUUUUUUUCCUCUCCUCUCUUUAAUCCCAUUUGAACUUGGGUACAAAGUCCUAUAGGUAUUUCCCGCGCCGUCAAUAAUUAAUGCUGUCUAAUUGGCGUAAUUAAAUGGAUGGUGUUGCUCUGUCGAUAAUACCGUGCUUAUGAAGCAGGAAGAGGAGGAACGAGGCGAGUGGGCCGCACUUGAUCGACAGCUACGCAAAGCUACACCCGUUCCUCUCCUUGAACUCAUGAUUCUGAUUGGUCAGAAGCUGACGAUUCAUUUACAGUAACAAGAACCUGCAGCAACAGAUGUUCAUCAAGUUGAGACCCAAGGUCCAUGCAGAAGGCCUGGAUGUGUUUCUCAGACCCGUGUGUUCUCGGUUUCAUGAAUAAUCGACGAAUUUGUCGAUCGGGGAAAAAAAACCCUGAAUUAAGAAUAUAAACAAACAAAUCAAUCGAAACAAUUGAAGACGGCGUAGGAGAAGGUGAAACGGGGUGAGCGCUCUGCCCUCUCCGAGUGGAGGAACUUGACCACGUUUCCUUAUGGGGACGAUCACCAGAGGAAAAUCUGCACGAGUCUGAGGAAUUCAGCUUCGGAUACACCGACUCCGCCAGGCCAGCGCUGUGAGUAAGAGUCAGCGUGGUGGUGGAUACGGAGCCUUUACAGGGAACACUGCGUGGUUUUUCUUCUUUGUUAGGCUGCACCUGCU